GUAGUCCACGCCCUAAACGAUGUCAACUAGUUGUUGGGGAUUCAUUUCCUUAGUAACGUAGCUAACGCGUGAAGUUGACCGCCUGGGGAGUACGGUCGCAAGAUUAAAACUCAAAGGAAUUGACGGGGACCCGCACAAGCGGUGGAUGAUGUGGAUUAAUUCGAUGCAACGCGAAAAACCCUUACCUACCCUUGACAUGUACGGAAUCCCGCUGAGAGGUGGGAGUGCUCGAAAGAGAACCGUAACACAGGUGCUGCAUGGCUGUCGUCAGCUCGUGUCGUGAGAUGUUGGGUUAAGUCCCGCAACGAGCGCAACCCUUGUCCUUAGUUGCUACCCCGCAAGGGAGCACUCUAGGGAGACUGCCGGUGACAAACCGGAGGAAGGUGGGGAUGACGUCAAGUCCUCAUGGCCCUUAUGGGUAGGGCUUCACACGUCAUACAAUGGUCGGUACAGAGGGUCGCCAACCCGCGAGGGGGAGCUAAUCUCAGAAAACCGAUCGUAGUCCGGAUUGUAGUCUGCAACUCGACUGCAUGAAGCUGGAAUCGCUAGUAAUCGCGGAUCAGCAUGUCGCGGUGAAUACGUUCCCGGGUCUUGUACACACCGCCCGUCACACCAUGGGGAGUGGGCUUUUGACCAGAAGUGGCUAGUCUAACCGCAAGGAGGACGGUCACCACGGUAGGAUUCAUGACUGGGGUGAAGUCGUAACAAGGUAGCCGUAUCGGAAGG
rnacentral:rRNA from 1 species